UGAAAAUAUCCGCUUCAUCAACAGGAAGGAGGCAGGAGGAGAACGCCGCGAGAAAAACAGCAGCCCGGAGAGAAAACAGACGAGAGGAACGGUGGCUGGACCGGGACAGAACAUACCCGAGUGGAUCUCUCUGCCACGCCUGAUUAGGACUUCCUGUUAAGUUCCCGCCCCCUCGACCUCGCUGUUCCUCUCCAGGAGUUGAUGCAACGCGGUCCUGACAGUCGCUGUCGGAGGUCCAGGACACGGUGGAGCCGAGGAUCAAGCGCUGCCGGAGGAAGAAACUCUCAGAGAUUUACAUCAGAGGAGGGUUCUGUUAUAUGGUCGGAUUGGUCCAAGAACGCGAGCGGGACUCAUCCAGGUCAUCCAGGUCAUCCAGGUCGCCCAGGUCAUCCAGGAGGGCAGCCGCCGCUAAUAAGAUGCUAAACGCUACGACGGCGGCAGCGACUGUGUGAUGUUAAAGCAGUCCUACGGAGCCCCCGGGCCGCCGGGAAGCAUCGCAGACUCACUUCUUCAUAAUUAGGAAUUCAUCAGGAGACCCGUUUGAACGUAAGAGGACUUCCUUUCAGUGCUGAGCCACAGGUUCACGGAGCGGGCGUGCACGGUGAGGAAGAGCAGCGUGGAACGAGGCUGCAGGCGCAUGCACAUGCAGAGUGCAUGCACAUGUGCAUCUUUAAAUCAGAGGCUGCAAGAAAGCAUGGUGGACUCUCAAACAUGAUUUGUGUCCUUCAUCCCUCAGAAGGGGAAGGAUAUGACCGGGAGGAGGUCUCACUCCGAUCACUUUUCGAGAUUCUGUUACAAUAAAACAAUUUAAAGGAUUUUUUUGUAUUCACCAAACUCACCAAGACGCCGGAACUCACAGAUGCUUCAAACAACUUUGUAUUUUUCACACCAAUUUAGACAAAAUAAAAAAAUGUUUUAUAAUAAGGUGGAAAUCUCAGAUUUCUCAGUGUGGUUCUGUUACAUCUUGAUUCAUGCUCUUAUUUUUGCAUUUUUUUCCUCCUUUUCUUCAUCAGUUCUGUCAACUUUGUUUGGAAA